CUGAUUAAAACUGCCACACUGAUGGGUAGAAGGAAUAAUUCAGUCAAAGCAAGGAUGAAGAAGACUUCAGAAAGAUUAUCACCUUGUAGCCAGUCAGACCAGCUUAUCAUCAAAUAUUUGGUGAAAGGAAAAGCCUGAAUGAAAUGAAUACAACCUUACAGGCAGAUUUGAAAAAUACCAACAAGCACAAAAUUUCCAUGUGAAAAUAUAUCACAGAGGUUCUGGACUCAAUUUAUCAAUUCCUACUUUGACUGCCUUGCCAAAAUAUUUUAGUGCCCACAUCAGAGACCACAAGCCCUAGAGAUUUUUCACCUUUUCAUCUCUGGAAUUUCUGCUCUGAGGCCCCUCUGUCCUGACUGGAAAAGGUUGAAACGUGGAGAUUGUCUUCAUGCAUCAUGUUGUAUACUUGAGCUUAUUAGCCCCAAAGAAGAAAGGGCCUCUUCGCCAGGUUCCAGAGGUAUUGGACAGUGUUCUCCAAGAGCAUGAAAGGACCUACAAGGUUUUUUAUAUGGAGCAGCACACGAGAUAAUGUUUCAAAUCAAGUUGAAUUCCAGAAACUGCAAAAGUCACUGGGCUCGAGGCAAACCACUUAACCAAGGGGAAAUAAGGUGAUUAACUGUGUAGACAACCACCAGUCCCACGGGUUCAGAAAGGAUUGGAAGGAGGACCAGGCAGCAUCCGUCUGUCUUUGAGCUCAGAUCAGGCUUAACUCCAACCUUGAAUUUGAAUUUGGAAGACAGUUGCUGUUACAUUGACUUUGUUAUCCCCACCUGCAUUUCUUCUCUUUUCUGUAGCAUGCUGUAACAUGUAAAUAAAGGCACGAU